rnacentral:rRNA from 1 species
GAUGAACGCUGGCGGCGUGCCUAAUACAUGCAAGUCGAGCGAACAGAUAAGGAGCUUGCUCCUUUGACGUUAGCGGCGGACGGGUGAGUAACACGUGGGUAACCUACCUAUAAGACUGGAAUAACUCCGGGAAACCGGGGCUAAUGCCGGAUAACAUUUAGAACCGCAUGGUUCUAAAGUGAAAGAUGGUUUUGCUAUCACUUAUAGAUGGACCCGCGCCGUAUUAGCUAGUUGGUAAGGUAACGGCUUACCAAGGCAACGAUACGUAGCCGACCUGAGAGGGUGAUCGGCCACGCUGGAACUGAGACACGGUCCAGACUCCUACGGGAGGCAGCAGUAGGGAAUCUUCCGCAAUGGGCGAAAGCCUGACGGAGCAACGCCGCGUGAGUGAUGAAGGUCUUCGGAUCGUAAAACUCUGUUAUUAGGGAAGAACAAAUGUGUAAGUAACUGUGCACGUCUUGACGGUACCUAAUCAGAAAGCCACGGCUAACUACGUG